rnacentral:rRNA from 1 species
AUUGAACGCUGGCGGCAGGCUUAACAUAUGCAAGUCGAGCGGGGUGAUGGUGCUUGCACUAUCACUUAGCGGCGGACGGGUGAGUAAUGCUUAGGAAUCUGCCUAUUAGUGGGGGACAACAUCUCGAAAGGGAUGCUAAUACCGCAUACGUCCUACGGGAGAAAGCAGGGGAUCACUUGUGACCUUGCGCUAAUAGAUGAGCAUAAGUCGGAUUAGCUAGUUGGUGGGGUAAAGGCCUACCAAGGCGACGAUCUGUAGCGGGUCUGAGAGGAUGAUCCGCCGCACUGGGACUAGGACACGGCCCAGACUCCUACGGGAAGCAGCAGUGGGGAAUAUUGGACAAUGGGGGGAACCCUGAUCCAGCCAUGCCGCGUGUGUGAAGAAGGCCUUAUGGUUGUAAAGCACUUUAAGCGAGGAGGAGGCUCUUUUGGUUAAUACCCAAGAUGAGUGGACGUUACUCGCAGAAUAAGCACCGGCUAACUCUGUGCCAGCAGCCGCAGUAA